UGGGGAAUAUUGCACAAUGGGCGCAAGCCUGAUGCAGCCAUGCCGCGUGUAUGAAGAAGGCCUUCGGGUUGUAAAGUACUUUCAGCGAGGAGGAAGGCGUUGUGGUUAAUAACCGCAACGAUUGACGUUACUCGCAGAAGAAGCACCGGCUAACUCCGUGCCAGCAGCCGCGGUAAUACGGAGGGUGCAAGCGUUAAUCGGAAUUCCUGGGCGUAAAGCGCACGCAGGCGGUCUGUCAAGUCGGAUGUGAAAUCCCCGGGCUCAACCUGGGAACUGCAUCCGAAACUGGCAGGCUAGAGUCUUGUAGAGGGGGGUAGAAUUCCAGGUGUAGCGGUGAAAUGCGUAGAGAUCUGGAGGAAUACCGGUGGCGAAGGCGGCCCCCUGGACAAAGACUGACGCUCAGGUGCGAAAGCGUGGGGAGCAAACA
rnacentral:rRNA from 1 species